UACAGAGGGGGCAAGCGUUGUUCGGAAUUACUGGGCGUAAAGGGCGCGUAGGCGGUUAGUUAAGUCCUGUGUGAAAUCCCCCGGCUCAACUGGGGAGGGUCACGCGAUACUGAUCGACUCGAAGGCAGGAGAGGGUAGUGGAAUUCCCGGUGUAGUGGUGAAAUGCGUAGAUAUCGGGAGGAACACCAGUGGCGAAGGCGACUACCUGGCCUGUUCUUGACGCUGAGGCGCGAAAGCUAGGGGAGCAAACGGG
rnacentral:rRNA from 1 species